GGACGAACGCUGGCGGCGUGCCUAAUACAUGCAAGUCGAGCGAGGAGCUUUUAGCUCCUAGCGGCGAACGGGUGAGUAACACGUGGGCAACCUGCCCGUAAGACUGGGAUAACCUUCGGGAAACCGGAGCUAAUACUGGAUAAUCUUGAUCUUCGCAUGAAGGACAAGUAAAAGAUUUAUCACUUACGGAUGGGCCCGCGGUGCAUUAGCUUGUUGGUAGGGUAAUGGCCUACCAAGGCGACGAUGCAUAGCCGACCUGAGAGGGUGACCGGCCACACUGGGACUGAGACACGGCCCAGACUCCUACGGGAGGCAGCAGUAGGGAAUUUUCCGCAAUGGGCGAAAGCCUGACGGAGCAACGCCGCGUGAAUGAUGACGGCCUUCGGGUUGUAAAAUUCUGUUCUAAGGGAAGAAGUUCUGACGGUACCUUAGGAGAAAGCCACGGCUAACUACGU
rnacentral:rRNA from 1 species